GAUGAACGCUGGCGGCGUGCCUAAUACAUGCAAGUCGAGCGAACAGAUGAGAAGCUUGCUUCUCUGACGUUAGCGGCGGACGGGUGAGCAACACGUGGGUAACCUACCUAUAAGACUGGGAUAACUCCGGGAAACCGGGGCUAAUACCGGAUAAUAUUUUGAACCGCAUGGUUCAAUAGUGAAAGACGGUUUCAGCUGUCACUUAUAGAUGGACCCGCGCCGUAUUAGCUAGUUGGUAAGGUAACGGCUUACCAAGGCGACGAUACGUAGCCGACCUGAGAGGGUGAUCGGCCACACUGGAACUGCGACACGGUCCAGACUCCUACGGGAGGCAGCAGUAGGGAAUCUUCCGCAAUGGGCGAAAGCCUGACGGAGCAACGCCGCGUGAGUGAUGAAGGUCUUCGGAUCGUAAAACUCUGUUGUUAGGGAAGAACAAAUUUGUUAGUAACUGAACAAGUCUUGACGGUACCUAACCAGAAAGCCACGGCUAACUACGUGCCAGCAGCCGCCGCGG
rnacentral:rRNA from 1 species